rnacentral:rRNA from 1 species
CGAAGCGACGCCGCGUGGGUGAGGAAGGCCUUCGGGUUGUAAAGCCCUGUCAGGAGUUAAGAAAUGUAGGCUAGCUAAUAUCGGGUCUAUUUGACAAAGGCUCCAAAGGAAGCCACGGCUAACUCUGUGCCAGCAGCCGCGGUAAUACAGAGGUGGCAAGCGUUGUUCGGAAUUAUUGGGCGUAAAGAGCACGUAGGUGGAUUUGUAAGUCAGACGUGAAAGCCUUCUGUUCAACGGGAGAAUUGCAUCUGAAACUACAAACCUUGAGUGUAGGAGGGGAGAAUGGAACUUCUGGUGGAGCGGUGAAAUGC